rnacentral:snRNA from 1 species
GACUGUGAGAGCUAUCUGGUUGUGACCUGUCUCCCCACUGAUAGCCAGGGUCCAUUAAGUUGAACUGGCUGGCUAGACAGGUGUUCCUUUCCUCUCUCACAGCUUCAUGUGUGCUCCCCCCAAGUUGCACAAGUGUUUUAUGUAUGAGUAAAUGCACUCCCAUGCUAAAACCUCUAAAUAAGCUCUUAAGACACUUGCUCAAAUUGUCGCAGCUAAUCAGAAUCUUCAGUAUCUGAUUUCU